rnacentral:rRNA from 1 species
CUUGACAUCCAGAGAAUUUAGCAGAGAUGCUUUAGUGCCUUCGGGAACUCUGAGACAGGUGCUGCAUGGCUGUCGUCAGCUCGUGUUGUGAAAUGGUUGGGUUAACGUCCGCAACGAGCGCAACCCUUAUCCUUUGUUGCCAGCACGUAAUGGUGGGAACUCAAAGGAGACUGCCGGUGAUAAACCGGAGGAAGGUGGGGAUGACGUCAAGUCAUCAUGGCCCUUACGAGUAGGGCUACACACGUGCUACAAUGGCGUAUACAAAGAGAAGCGACCUCGCGAGAGCAAGCGGACCUCAUAAAGUGCGUCGUAGUCCGGAUUGGAGUCUGCAACUCGACUCCAUGAAGUCGGAAUCGCUAGUAAUCGUAAAUCAGAAUGUUACGGUGAAUACGUUCCCGGGCCUUGUACACACCGCCCGUCACACCAUGGGAGUGGGUUGCAAAAGAAGUAGAUAGCUUAACCUUCGGGAGGGCGUUUACCACUUUGUGAUUCAUGACUGGGGUGAAGUCGUAACAAGGUAAGCGUAGUGCU